UCGUAGUUAGGAGAGUCCAGCAUUUUCAGGGAAAGCAUAAUCUCUUGUUGAACUCUUUAGUGACCGGUUAACCUCAUAGGUGUGGAGCAAAGUGUCUUGACACUGAAGCAAUUCAAAUUCUUCAUGGAUGUUAGAAUAAUGCUGGAUGAUAUGGGCGACAUGAUCACAUUUUUGGUCCCAGUCAAGACAGGGGUUGCUGCAUUUUAAAUUAGCUAAAACCGUUAAAUGGCUCAAGGUUGGCCUGACCUCCUCUCAGCCUACUUUUUUAAGAAAAAUUGGCAGUGGAAAAAAGUGGCAGAAGAACCAACAGGUGCAAGCGAGAGAACGGUUGGAAUGUCCUUCCGGUCUUAUUGGACUGCCUUAUUACAAUGAUACCACAAUAUAAUACAAUGAAAAAGUUGGAAGGUUUGAUGAAGUUCAGAUGAGUUAUGAGGUGUUGUCUUAUUUGCAAUAUAUCGCUUGGAUAUAAAAGUUUGUCUUUGUUAUUACAAUAAACAAGGAAACAAGUGCA